UACGUAGGGGGCUAGCGUUGUCCGGAAUCAUUGGGCGUAAAGAGCGUGUAGGCGGCCUGGUAGGUCUGCUGUGAAAACUCGAGGCUCAACCUCGAGAUGUCGGCGGAAACCAUCUGGCUAGAGUCCGGAAGAGGAGAGUGGAAUUCCUGGUGUAGCGGUGAAAUGCGCAGAUAUCAGGAAGAACACCUAUGGCGAAGGCAGCUCUCUGGGACGGUACUGACGCUGAGGCGCGAAAGCGUGGGGAGCAAACAGG
rnacentral:rRNA from 1 species